AUUGAACGCUGGCGGCAGGCCUAACACAUGCAAGUCGAGCGAGCGGCGGACGGGUGAGUAAUGUCUGGGAAACUGCCUGAUUGAGGGGGAUAACUACUGGAAACGGUAGCUAAUACAGCAUACCAUCAGAUUUGCCCAGAUGGGAUUUGCUAGUAGGUGGGGUAAUGGCUCACCUAGGCGACGAUACCGAUCUGGUCUGAGAGGAUGACCAGCCAAACUGGAAAUGAGAAACGGUCCAGACUCGUACGGGAGGCAGCAGUGGGGAAUAUUGCACAAUGGGCGCAAGCCUGAUGCAGCCAUGCCGCGUGUGUGAAGAAGGCCUUCGGGUUGUAAAGCACUUUCAGCGGGGAGGCGUUACCCGCAGAAGAAGCACCGGCUAACUCCGUGCCAGCAGCCGCGGUAAUAC
rnacentral:rRNA from 1 species